AUUGAACGCUGGCGGCAGGCCUAACACAUGCAAGUUGAGCGGAGCGGCGGACGGGUGAGUAAUGCCUAGGAAUCUGCCUGGUAGUGGGGGAUAACGUCCGGACACGGGCGAUAAUACCGCAUACUAUUAGAUGAGCCUAGCUCGGAUUAGCUAGUUGGUGGGGUAAAGGCUGACCAAGGCGACGAUCCGUAACUGGUCUGAGAGGAUGAUCAGUCAAAUGGGAACUGAGGUAAGGUCCGGACUCCUACGGGAGGCAGCGGUGGGGAAUAUUGGACAAUGGGGGAAAGCCUGUUCCAGCCAUGCCGCGUGUGUGGAGAAGGUCUUCGGAUUUUAAAGCACUUUAAGUUGGGAGGCGUUACCAACAGAAUAAGCAGCGGGUAAGUUCGUGCGAGCGGCCGCGGUAAUAC
rnacentral:rRNA from 1 species